CUUAUUUGCUUCCCCAUUCCUUCUGUUGCAUGUGUUUUGUCCCAGCUGUAGUCCCAGCUACUCCGGAAGCUGAGGUGGGAGGAUCGCUGGAGCCUGGGAGUUCCAGAGGCUGCAGUGAGCCGUGGUCACGCCACUGUACUCUAGACUGGGCAACAGAGCAAGACCCUGUCUCUCAAAGGGAAAGUAUUUUAAUAACUUUUUCAGAUACUUGUGGUUUUUUUCUGUAAUUCUAUCAACGAACCUCUUUCGCACUCUGUUACCUCACUCUAGUCCUGAAGUUCCUUCAGUAAUUAGCGCGAUGCCUUUAGAGCACUGUUUUCCCCUGAAUGACUCGCAGCUGCCAGAAAUUUGUUGGAUUUGAGGAGUCCAGAGCGCCGACCCGCUCUGUCUGCGUGGACUUAUUUCCUUGGAUCUUCGUGGACUCUGAAGUUGCCAAGUGUGUGUGCCUGCUCCAGAAAACAAAGGAAGCCACCAUUUUUUCUCAUUCACAGUGCAGGGAGAUACCUCAGUAGAAGCAUACAGUCCAGUCUUCAACUAGGGA
rnacentral:lncRNA from 10 species